GUGUCCUCGCGUGACUGGCGACAUCGGAUGGAGCACCAUCGGGAAGCGCGGGAUAACUGCCGUUCGCCUGGGCAAUUGGG
rnacentral:ncRNA from 2 species